rnacentral:rRNA from 1 species
AACGAACGCUGGCGGCAGGCUUAACACAUGCAAGUCGAACGCCCCGCAAGGGGAGUGGCAGACGGGUGAGUAACGCGUGGGAACGUACCUUUCAGUUCGGAAUAACUCAGGGAAACUUGUGCUAAUACCGGAUGCGCCCGCAAGGGGAAAGAUUUAUCGCUGAAAGAUCGGCCCGCGUUGGAUUAGCUAGUUGGUGGGGUAAAGGCCUACCAAGGCGACGAUCCAUAGCUGGUCUGAGAGGAUGAUCAGCCACACUGGGACUGAGACACGGCCCAGACUCCUACGGGAGGCAGCAGUGGGGAAUAUUGGACAAUGGGCGCAAGCCUGAUCCAGCCAUGCCGCGUGUGUGAUGAAGGCCUUAGGGUUGUAAAGCACUUUCACCGAUGAAGAUAAUGACGGUAGUCGGAGAAGAAGCCCCGGCUAACUUCGUG